UAUGCUCCCUUAUUAUAUUUUGCCACAAUCAAAUGCGUUUUUCUAUCCCGCUCUUAAGUUUAAAUUUUGAUAGCAUCACUUUCACUCUUUUAAUUUAAUAAAGACAAUUGAUGACUCCUCAGGAUGCGGGUAUUUAUCGCUGCAUUCAAGACCUUAUUUGUGACCUACUGCUGUUGUCUGUUCUAUAUAUAUGGUCGGGUUGUUUUCUCUUUGACACAUUUCCAAAUUCCAUUCUCAUUUUUGAUUUCCAAUAACUUUACCUUGAAAACUUGACUUUUUGUCUUCAUUAGAACUGGUGUAUUUAAAGAUCGAACAUGUUGUAGUUUUAUAAGCGUUAACAGUUAUGAUCCAUGAACACAUUGUUCCCUUAUUUCACAAUUACAUAUCAAUAUCAUAUUAU
rnacentral:lncRNA from 1 species